UGGGGAAUAUUGGACAAUGGGCGAAAGCCUGAUCCAGCCAUGCCGCGUGUGUGAAGAAGGUCUUCGGAUUGUAAAGCACUUUAAGUUGGGAGGAAGGGCAGUAAGCGAAUACCUUGCUGUUUUGACGUUACCGACAGAAUAAGCACCGGCUAACUCUGUGCCAGCAGCCGCGGUAAUACAGAGGGUGCAAGCGUUAAUCGGAAUUACUGGGCGUAAAGCGCGCGUAGGUGGUUCGUUAAGUUGAAUGUGAAAGCCCUGGGCUCAACCUGGGAAGUGCAUCCAAAACUGGCGAGCUAGAGUAGGGCAGAGGGUGGUGGAAUUUCCUGUGUAGCGGUGAAAUGCGUAGAUAUAGGAAGGAACACCAGUGGCGAAGGCGACCACCUGGGCUCAUACUGACACUGAGGUGCGAAAGCGUGGGGAGCAAACAGG
rnacentral:rRNA from 1 species